rnacentral:rRNA from 1 species
GAUCAUGGCUCAGGACGAACGCUGGCGGCGUGCCUAAUACAUGCAAGUAGAACGCUGAAGGAGGAGCUUGCUUCUCUGGAUGAGUUGCGAACGGGUGAGUAACGCGUAGGUAACCUGCCUGGUAGCGGGGGAUAACUAUUGGAAACGAUAGCUAAUACCGCAUAAGAGUAGAUGUCGCAUGACAUAUGCUUAAAAGGUGCAAUUGCAUCACUACCAGAUGG